rnacentral:rRNA from 1 species
UCGAAAGAUGUGCUAAUACCGCAUAUUCUCUGAGGAGGAAAGUAGGGGAUCGAAAGACCUUAUGCUUUUGGAGCGGCCGAUGUCUGAUUAGCUAGUUGGUAAGGUAAUGGCUUACCAAGGCGACGAUCAGUAGUUGGUCUGAGAGGACGGCCAGCCACACUGGGACUGAGACACGGCCCAGACUCCUACGGGAGGCAGCAGUGGGGAAUUUUGGACAAUGGGCGCAAGCCUGAUCCAGCAAUGCCGCGUGAGUGAAGAAGGCCUUCGGGUUGUAAAGCUCUUUCAGUCGAGAAGAAAAGGUUGUGACUAAUAAUCAUAACUCAUGACGGUAUCGACAGAAGAAGCACCGGCUAACUACGUGCCAGCAGCCGCGGUAAUACGUAGGGUGCGAGCGUUAAUCGGAAUUACUGGGCGUAAAGGGUGCGCAGGCGGUUCUGUAAGUCAGAUGUGAAAUCCCCGGGCUUAACCUGGGAACUGC